rnacentral:sRNA from 2 species
GAAUAAUAAUCGCUGAGUUUUCUGUAUAGAAAACCGGGGGAACCAAGUAAUUGGGGUGAAUCGAUAUGCAUGAGUGCAUGUCGUAGGGCUAAUUCUCACAGUCCGAAUCCGUCAGCUAACCUCGGAAGCGAAAGUGGGAAGGAUA